GAUGAACGCUGGCGGCGUGCCUAAUACAUGCAAGUCGAGCGAACGGACGAGAAGCUUGCUUCUCUGAUGUUAGCGGCGGACGGGUGAGUAACACGUGGAUAACCUACCUAUAAGACUGGGAUAACUUCGGGAAACCGGAGCUAAUACCGGAUAAUAUUUUGAACCGCAUGGUUCAAAAGUGAAAGACGGUCUUGCUGUCACUUAUAGAUGGAUCCGCGCUGCAUUAGCUAGUUGGUAAGGUAACGGCUUACCAAGGCAACGAUGCAUAGCCGACCUGAGAGGGGGAUCGGCCACACUGGAACUGAGACACGGUCCAGACUCCUACGGGAGGCAGCAGUAGGGAAUCUUCCGCAAUGGGCGAAAGCCUGACGGAGCAACGCCGCGUGGGUGAUGAAGGUCUUCGGAUCGUAAAACUCUGUUAUUAGGGAAGAACAUAUGUGUAAGUAACUGUGCACAUCUUGACGGUACCUAAUCAGAAAGCCACGGCUAACUACGUG
rnacentral:rRNA from 1 species